rnacentral:rRNA from 1 species
AUACGUAGGGGGCGAGCGUUGUCCGGAAUUACUGGGCGUAAAGGGUGCGUAGGCGGCCUUUUAAGUCAGAUGUGAAAGGCUGCGGCUUAACCGCAGGACUGCAUUUGAAACUGGAGGGCUUGAGUGUCGGAGAGGGUAGUGGAAUUCCCAGUGUAGCGGUGAAAUGCGUAGAUAUUGGGAGGAACACCAGUGGCGAAGGCGACUACCUGGACGAUAACUGACGCUGAGGCACGAAAGCUAGGGGAGCAAACAGGAUUAGAUACCCUGGUAGUCCUAGCCGUAAACGAUGGGUACUAGGUGUAGGUGGUUUCGAUACCAUCUGUGCCGCAGUUAACGCAAUAAGUACCCCGCCUGGGGAGUACGGUCGCAAGACUGAA